UGCAAGGAGAGUGGAAGCUAAUAAGGUCACUUCCCUUCAUCUGGGAAUAGAGAGACUAGAAAAAAGCACCAUAUGCUCAUCUGAAAGAAAAUCAGCAAGAGGAGGAUCAGUCAGAUGUAGGAAGUUAAGACUGGUAGCAUCAUUCUCAUGACUUAAGGAAGCACAUCACAAGAUCUACAGUCAUUCAGAACAAAAGCUUUAAGAACUAAAAGCUUUAUGAUGCUACAAAUAAAUUUCUAUAGUUUAGCAUUAAGGUUGUAUUUAAAUGAGAUAACUCUGCAUUGCACAUCCUGGAAUAAUGACAAUUUUUUCUAAAAGAACAGUACUUCAGGGAUGAACAACACUUAUGGAUGUAAUGAGUAUAAAUUAUUUUUUAAAACAUAUUGGGAAAUACUGAAAGUACAUGAAAUAUGAAUGACCCUAGUAUAACAAUCUAAGUAGGAUAGACUAAGACUAUGAUUGAAACAAAUUUCUGUUUUCUUGAUGUUUUUUUUUUUUUUUUUCUUUUUCCCCAUGGAGAAAUACGUUUUAGUGUUUACGCUUUUGUAGAGCCUUGACUGGAGUAGGGCGUCUACCACUGAAGCAGAGCAGAGUUCAAGCAGCUGCUUGAUGAGUUACAGGAGGGAACAGAGAAAUCUUCUCAGUCAGGGAAUCCCCAGCUGUCUGGGUCAACACUGGAGACCGAUGGCAUCUGGUCUCUAGUCAUAGGUGAAGAGGAACACAGAGAUGUAACUGCUAUUUAAAUUACAAAGGUGGAAUAUAAACCAGAAGAAGGAAAGUACAAUACACAGAAGCUGAAGCUAGAAAGCUCCCUAGGUAUUGUUGUUUCUACUGAGCUUAACAACUGUUUUGAAGAGGAAAUUCAAUAAACUUGUGAAAGAGACUGAAGAGACAGAAAAGGGGGAAUUUCCAGCAACAGCAGCGAUUUGGACUUUCUACCAACCUCCUUCCAACUUGAUCAUCACUGAAUUAUUUAGUAUUCUAGGUUGGAAGGGACUCUGGAGGUCAUCUAGUUCAAACUUCUCAAAGAAAGGCUGACUUCAAACUCAGAUCAGGUUGCUGGGGGCCUUGUCCAGUUAAGUUCUGAACAUCUCCAAGGACAGAGAUUUCACAGCACAUCUGGUAGCCUGAUCCAGUGCUUAACCACCUUUACUGUAAUAUGUGUUUAGAAUUUCCCUUGAUAGAAUCUAUGACUGCUGCUUCUCAACCUUUCACUGUGCACCUAUGGCAAGAGCCUGAUGAGGAUUAAGAGAGGUCUGUGACACUUUAUCAAGCUUUAGUGCUAGUGAUUCAGCAGCAAAUUUCUAAGUAAUGUAAGUUGAUAAGGGAAGAACAAGGAUCUUCACCAUCUCUGCUUUCAAAAAGCAGAAGUGUAGGAACUUAAUUUAGAGAGUGCAACGCAGCAGCAGUGCAUAAUUAGCCAUAUAUUUAAUCCCUUCUUGAAUCUACUUUGGUUUCUACAAAAUUCUAUCGUAGUAAGUGUUGUAGUUGAAUCAUAAAUUAUGAAAAAGUGCUUCAUUCACUUGAACUAAAACAUAUCAAGAUCUCUCAUGUUUAGCAAUACUGCUUAAAAAUUGUAAUGGAAGCAAGUGAGACUAAGAUGCAUGAUUUAUGAGUCUUCUGUGGCAACAGAUCUUGAGCAUGUUUCUACACUUUCCAGUGCAGGGAAAGUUUUGCGAUAGCAAAAGUUACCAUCAUUGGAGAGUUUCUAGUAAUACCAUGAGAACUAUCCCAGUGAAAUUCCUCCACUAGGCGUCCAGUGGUGUAAUCUCCUGUGUGAUGGCAUUCCAAAACAGACCUGCUCACCCAGCAAUCUAGCAAUCAAAAUAUAUCAUAGAUUGGCUGGUAAAUCUAUAUAUGCACAUGAGCAUUGACUGCAAAAAUGCAAAGAAAGAAAUUUGGAAAUAUAGAUUUUUUCCCCAAAGGACAACACUGUGCCCGCUGUAAAGAUCAAAGGCAAAUUGCAAAGUUGUUAUCAAGAGAGACAUCUGUUAGUCUAAAACUAAAAAUUAAAUACUGUGAUGUUACUACUAGUCACUUUAAAGUGCUAUAUGUUUUCUUCUAUUCUUGCCCAAAUCACUGCUGAUUAGAACAUUGAAUCUUAAAAAGAAGUCUCCUCUUUUUCAAAUUAUGCUUUUACUUGCACUGAUUUUAACUACCGUGACUGCUCUCCAUUCUGUCCGAUGCCACCAUCCCUCCAUCCCUUUCUGACAGUUUAAGCAUAGUCAUUAUAGCCAGUGUAAGAAAAACCAUCAGAUUUCUAUCAAAAUACCAAGUAUUACCAAAUUAGUAAAUUCUGAUUCUAUGCUCCAGAAAAAUGAGUCUAAGCUGACUGAUCACGUCUAUGUGCUGAACUGAUUCUUACCCUACUUUUUAAUUUCUUAUCUUUUAUAGACUUUCUAAUAUAUGCCUUUAAAACUCACUUCUGUGAUCCCUACCUCUACUUUUGUUUCAGUAUUGAGUCAUUCUGUUUGUUUGACUCCCUUUGUAGUAGCAAACUGCCCUUUGUAGAAACUGAACCUGGUUAAGAAUUCCCUUUUGCGGCAAAUCCGAAUGGAAUUCCUGGCAGUACAAGAUGCCAUACACCAUGCUAGGGUGUUUGCUCCUGGAUCUCACUCAAAGGCACAGGGCUUCAUUCUGAUUUACACACUUCAAAUAAGAUCAGAAUCAGGCCAACAGUUCCUGCCAAAAGAGCACAGAAACUGAAAGGCAGAGAAGAUGAAACAGACUCACUCCAAGAGAUUCAGAGAAUGGAAGUAGCAAAAACCCUUUUAUACUUUUUUUGUAUUAGCAAGGAGCAAUGCUAGCCUGUGAGGAGCAUUCACAGGCCUUGUGGAAACAAGAGGAUUUCCAGAGAUAUUAAAUAGGAAAGCACAAAGAUGAAUUAACUGGCAUAAAAUAAAAAUAAGAUAAAAAAUACAAUUAAAACAUUAAAAUGUU
ensembl:lncRNA